AAACAAUGUUGUGGACACUUCCUGAGUAGUCCUUUGAACUAUUCACAUGCUUCAUAUAAGGAUUCACUUUUCUUUUGUUCAAAAGAAGUGAUGUCCGCCUUGAGCUU